CCGGUAUUUGUUAUUUAUAAAUAUUAAAAAUAUGUUCCUGUACUUACUGGUAAAAAUUAUUGUGACAUUACCAAUCCAUCUGGUAAUCCACAUGAGCUCAAAGACAUUCGUACGAGAUAGUGUAAAUUUGCGUAAUAAUAUAAUUAAAAAAUAAUUAUCCGGAUUCGAUUACUGAUAAGUCAUCGGGUGCUUGUGCUCGCGAUGAGACUCAUCCGCUCGUUGUCCACGUUCAGAGCGAGACGAAACUAUGGACGCACAACGUAUAAUAUUUUACAUUAUUAUGUCUCAGGAUUCAAGUUAUAGACAUUUGUACACUAGCGCAUUCUUCUUUUCUUUACACGACGACUUCCUUUAACUUCGCACCAAGGUCGUCACUCACACGCCAUCACUUGCCUAUGUACCAUUUCCAUCCAUGCGUGCUCCUGGCACACCCCCCAAAAAAACCCUAUUUUUGAAAAUUCAUUCAUGACCAAUAUACAUUGUCUCGUUUGUCCAAUAUAUCAUGGUUCACGAUUCAUAGGUUUCAUGACAUUCAGGAAACACAGCCAAUAAGUCAUGGUAAUGAGAUUCCUGAUUCAAUAUUUUAAUUCAAAAGGGUCUAAAUCUAAUACAUAAAUGUGUCAGACGAAACUAUGAUAAAUUAUAGAUAGUUAUAAAUGAAUAGACACGAAGAAGAGGCUUCAUUGGACUUGGCUUGUAAUCUUAUCGGUUUGAACAUUUUUUUUUUUUUAUUGAUAAUUUAUAGAUAGCCCUCGGGCUACUUAAUUUUUGUACUCAAUACUUUGAGCGCAGAUACCUGUAACAAUGAACACGUGCCGUUUUUUGAAGGUUCGACACAUUUUGUUGACUUAAUAAGAUACACAACGAACGUUAGCCAUCGAUCAUAUGGAAAAUCUUACUAGAGACAUAAUUUAAUUGAUUUAUUGUUAUCUGUUUAUUUUUAAGCCUUGCGCCGAGACGAGUACAAAUCGUGUGUUUAUUAUAAGAUGUGUUAUAAUAGCAGCAAGAACUAGUGUUAAAAAAAGAAAGAAAAAAAAACCAUUGUGCGGAGAUAUUAUACCUGCGGAUGCCACAGCUGUUUGACAAUUGUGUAUUAAAUAGUCGCUGAAUAACUAUGCUUGGGGACGAGAAUUACCCCUUUUACGU